GACCUGUUGGUGAAUGGCUCACACCCACUUCUUCUUCGAAGUAUUCCUGCAUGUUAAACAGUGGGAGUUCCUGGUUCGAAUCCGGGUCAGGUCU